rnacentral:lncRNA from 1 species
GAAAAUAGCCUGGAGUAAUCAAUGAAGGUGUUAAGGAUUAGACUGUAUAUACAAAAAUAAAAGAUGAUUGGCAUUUACCUAGUAAUCAACUAGCUAGUUAAAUAUACAUAUCUGGAUGAUUAAAAGUGAUACUGACAAUGGAACAGUUGUAUAAACAUCGACUUUAAUAAAUUUUGAUGCUGUUGAAAACAUGGAACAGACUUAGUUUAUACUGAAC